rnacentral:misc_RNA from 1 species
CAACAAGCACACUAUGAUUGAUCUUGGAACUGGAAACAACAACAAGAUUAAUUGGGCUCUGAAGGAUAAGCAAGAGUUCAUUGACAUAGUUGAAACUGUUUACCGUGGGGCAAGGAAGGGCCGUGGUUUAGUCAUUGCUCCAAAAGAUUACUCUACCAAGUAUCGUUAUUAAUGCUUGUGGCAAGUUGUUGAUUUCCAUUUUUGCAUCUGCACAUGGAUGCAAUAUUACAAUGCAUCUAAUUUGCACAUCCUUCGAAGUUAAAAUUAUUUUCUUGGGUUUGCUCACAAAUAUAAAUUGGAUAUCUGAAAAUUUCAAAAAUUCCUUGGGCUAAGAAAACUGUAACGAUCAAAAUCGUGGUGCAUAAUUUAAG